AAUUGGAGGGCAAGUCUGGUGCCAGCAGCCGCGGUAAUUCCAGCUCCAAUAGCGUAUAUUAAAGUUGUUGCAGUUAAAAAGCUCGUAGUUGAACUUCGGGGUUUACCCAUUGGUCAGGCUUAAUUGUCUGUACUGGUGAGAUAAAUCUCUACCUUCUGAGGAACUUUCAUGCCAUUUAUUUGGUGUGAUUGGAAAUCAGGACUAUUACUUUGAAAAAAUUAGAGUGUUUAAAGCAGGCUAAAGUCUGAAUACAUUAGCAUGGAAUAAUGAAAUAGGACGGAUUGAUUCUAUUUCGUUGGUUUCUAGGAUCACCGUAAUGAUUAAUAGGGAUAGUUGGGGGCAUUAGUAUUCAAUUGUCAGAGGUGAAAUUCUUGGAUUUAUUGAAGACUAACUACUGCGAAAGCAUUUGCCAAGGAUGUUUUCAUUAAUCAAGAACGAAAGUUAGGGGAUCGAAGACGAUCAGAUACCGUCGUAGCCUUAACCAUAAACUAUGCCGACUAGGGAUCGGACGAAGUUAAUUUUAUAAUGACGCGUUCGGCACCUUACGGGAAACCAAAGUGU
rnacentral:rRNA from 1 species